rnacentral:rRNA from 1 species
GUUUGAACUGGCGAGCUUGAGUACAUUCGAGGUAAGCGGAAUUCGUGGUGUAGCGGUGAAAUGCAUAGAUAUCACGAAGAACUCCGAUUGCGAAGGCAGCUUACCAGGAUGUUACUGACGCUCAGGCACGAAAGCGUGGGUAUCAAACAGGAUUAGAUACCCUGGUAGUCCACGCAGUAAACGAUGAGCGCUAGGUGUUCGGGGAGAAUGAUUCCUGAGUGCCCGAGCGAAAGCGUUAAGCGCUCCACCUGGGGAGUACGCCGGCAACGGUGAAACUCAAAGGAAUUGACGGGGGCCCGCACAAGCGGAGGAACAUGUGGUUUAAUUCGAUGAUACGCGAGGAACCUUACCCGGGCUCAAACGACUCAGGAAUGAUGGUGAAAGCCGUCCGCCAGCAAUGGUCUGAGUCGAGGUGCUGCAUGGUUGUCGUCAGCUCGUGCCGUGAGGUGUCGGCUUAAGUGCCAUAACGAGCGCAACCCCUACCGCCAGUUGCCAACGGGUAAAGCCGGGAACUCUGGCGGGACUGCCGGCGCAAGCUGUGAGGAAGGCGGGGAUGACGUCAAAUCAGCACGGCCCUUACGUCCGGGGCGACACACGUGUUACAAUGGCAGGUACAGCGGGAAGCCACCUGGUGACAGGGAGCGGAACCCGAAAGCCUGUCUCAGUUCGGAUUGGAGUCUGCAACCCGACUCCAUGAAGCUGGAUUCGCUAGUAAUCGCGCAUCAGCCAUGGCGCGGUGAAUACGUUCCCGGGCCUUGCACACACCGCCCGUCAAG